rnacentral:rRNA from 1 species
AACGAACGCUGGCGGCAUGCCUAACACAUGCAAGUCGAACGAGACCUUCGGGUCUAGUGGCGCACGGGUGCGUAACGCGUGGGAAUCUGCCCCUGGGUUCGGGAUAACAGUUGGAAACGACUGCUAAUACCGGAUGAUGUCUUCGGACCAAAGAUUUAUCGCCCAGGGAUGAGCCCGCGUCGGAUUAGCUAGUUGGUAGGGUAAAAGCCUACCAAGGCGACGAUCCUGAGCUGGUCUGAGAGGAUGAUCAGCCACACUGGGACUGAGACACGGCCCAGACUCCUACGGUAGGCAGCAGUGGGGAAUAUUGGACAAUGGGUGAAAGCCUGAUCCAGCAAUGCCGCGUGAGUGAUGAAGGCCUUAGGGUUGUAAAGCUCUUUUACCCGGGAUGAUAAUGACAGUACCGGGAGAAUAAGCCCCGGCUAACUCCGUGCCAGCAGCCGCGGUAAUAC